rfam:Aedes albopictus isolate Foshan contig46618, whole genome shotgun sequence.
UAGCCUAGUGGUUAAGGCUUUGGAUGGCUAAUCCGGAGACGGUGGGUUCGAUUCCCGU